GUUUCAUGCGUAGGGAGCUUUUAAUAUUUGUAAAACGUGACGAUAUUAGACUGAUGGGAAAUGCAUGUCUUCUCUCAGAAGUACUGCUUCUAAGCUGCCCCAAGAAAGUCCUGAGCCUGUUAUCCCUCCAACUUUUACAGAGAUACCCUUAUCUGGCUGUACUUGAAGGUCUUCCUUGUGCCCUGGAGAUUCUGACUCACAUGAAAAUGGGAGAGGUCUUAUGAGACGCCAGCUCCAAAAUACUGUCUUGGAACAUCUGCUCCUGCACUUAUUCAGGAACCAGACAAUUAGAAGAAAGUUAACUUCAAAAGAAGCUGUCUGAUGGAAGGGCAUGUGAUGUUUUACAGGAGUGCCUGAGAGGACAUGUGAUGUUUGGGGAGAGUGUGUGUUCCCUUGGUGGCUUCUGGACCCUUUCCUAGUGAUGAAUCCUCUCUUCUUCCUCUCCCUCUCCUCCCCUGGCUGGUAUCAGAAGUCCAACCCUAUUCUUUCCUCUGCUCAGCCACUGGCUGAUCAGCUUUUAUUGACAAAUCAGAGAAUCAAUGGGGAGCAAUGUUUCCAUACCAUUGAGACCUGAGAUUCUUAGAAUAACCAUUACAAUGGCAUGUCUGUUUUGUAAUCAAAUAUGAGGGCUGUAGUGGCUAUUCUUGUUUGUUAACUUGACUAUAUAUAGAAUGAACUACAAUCCAGAACUGAAGGCUCAUCAGUUGAUCCUAUUCUUGAGGCUGGGAGAAACAAGUGUCUGACCUGGAUCUUAGCAUGGAGAUCUUGAGGCAUAGUGGCUAUGAAUUCCAGAAGAUUAAGUAAGAAAGAUCUCGGAGUUCAAGGUCAUCUGGGAUUAAAGGUGUGGUGGCUUUAACCUGGGCUACACCUUCUGCUGGAGGCCUAUAUAAAAGGACAUUGGAAGGAGGAAGAUUCACUCUCUCUUCUUUGCCUUCUUGCCUUGUGGGACUGAACAACUGCUAGAUCCUUG
rnacentral:lncRNA from 1 species